rnacentral:rRNA from 1 species
GAUGAACGCUGGCGGCGUGCCUAAUACAUGCAAGUCGAGCGAACAGACGAGGAGCUUGCUCCUCUGACGUUAGCGGCGGACGGGUGAGUAACACGUGGAUAACCUACCUAUAAGACUGGGAUAACUUCGGGAAACCGGAGCUAAUACCGGAUAAUAUAUUGAACCGCAUGGUUCAAUAGUGAAAGACGGUUUUGCUGUCACUUAUAGAUGGAUCCGCGCCGCAUUAGCUAGUUGGUAAGGUAACGGCUUACCAAGGCGACGAUGCGUAGCCGACCUGAGAGGGUGAUCGGCCACCCUGGAACUGAGACACGGUCCAGACUCCUACGGGAGGCAGCAGUAGGGAAUCUUCCGCAAUGGGCGAAAGCCUGACGGAGCAACGCCGCGUGGGUGAUGAAGGUCUUCGGAUCGUAAAACUCUGUUAUUAGUGAAGAACAAAUGUGUAAGUAACUAUGCACGUCUUGACGGUACCUAAUCAGAAAGCCACGGCUAACUACGUG